rnacentral:misc_RNA from 1 species
CCGAGUUUACAACUCCCAAACCCCUGUGAACAUACCUAUACGUUGCCUCGGCGGAUCAGCCCGCGCCCCGUAAAAAGGGACGGCCCGCCCGAGGACCCCUAAACUCUGUUUUUAGUGGAACUUCUGAGUAAAGCAAACAAAUAAAUCA